CCUGGUCUCAUGAUCUGCCCACCUCAGCCUCCCAAAGUGCUGGGAUUACUGUCAUGAGCCACUGUGCCAGGCUAAUCUCUUAGGGAUUUUAACGAGCUGUUGACUUUUGAGUUUGGUCAGCUUUUUACUUACUGUUAGAACCGAGUGACAAAUUUUAAGCUUGUUAUAUGCCUGAAAAGAAACCAGAAAUCUCUAGGAAGUGACUGGAGAAUGUGAACUCCAUGGUAGAUUGAGGAUGGAGUCAUGAGUGAAAUGGGUGAAAUGAGCCCAUGGGCUUUGGGCACUGCAGGCCUGUCCAACAACUGACACCCUGGUGAGUCAGUGCAAAGUUUACAACAGUGACAGCAAACUAGCAUGGCUGAAUACAUUUGGCAUCUAGUCUCAGGCUGGCUGUCCUCACUCAUUCCUGGACAUAGGCCAGGCUAACCAUGGGAGGAAUUUAGUUUAUAUCUUAACUUUGAAGCAAGAAUAAUAAUAGUUCCUCCAUAACACUAAUACCCUUUUUUGCCCAGAGAUUGCCUUUGUAAAACUGGUGAAAGACCAUGAGAGUAAGAUUAUAGGAGGGAAGUGAAUUCUGUUAAAAUGGAGGCAUAGUUUCUAUAAACACUGCUCAAAUGUCAUUUGGCCAGAGUUUUCAAAAUUUGUAACUAAUUACUCCUAUAGAUAACAUCACUAUUGUAUAACCUGAGGUUGGUCUUUUGAGAUGUUUCUCAUUCUUUGCAUUCUGGCAAAGAGCUGACCUCAUCCAUACCCAUGACUAAUGGCUCAACCAGUCAUGUGGUCCCCACCUAGAGGCAGAUUCAAGCAGAAACAGAUCAUUUCCCUCCGCCUGCAUGAUUUCAUCCUGAAACAGUCAGCAGUACCCUUUUUUUUAGUCCUGUGCCCCUGAAACUAUCCUUGAAAAUCUCUAACCCCUGAUCCACUAGGAAGGCUGAUUUGAGUAAUAAUAAACCUCCAUCCUCCUGUUUAGCAGACUUGGAGUCAUUAAAAUCUUUCUUUACUGCAAAUCACCAUCGGGAUACAUUGGUUUUCUUUAUGCAGGAGGUCAGAAGAACUUGUCUGGGAAAUAUAAGAGUGGAUGGAGGAGCUGCCUAUCCCUGUCCCACGGUCUUGGCCACAGAACAGCCUCACAAAGGAAAGAGCCCUGGAUGUGGAUACAGUGGAAGCUCAUUCUCUUAGUGACCUGGGGACAUUGGCUUGAGAUGAAGCCUGGCAGGAGUGGAAACUCCAGGCUCACUGAACUCUGUAUCUGUGGUCUCCAGUUGUGCCGAGUGCUCCCCAGUGUCUUUUGGAUCUCUGCUGGACAUACUAGAUAUUGAAAUCUUUGUUCAUUCUCUUGGCUCUGGUUUGGCUGACCUGUCAGCUGGAGCUGGAGGACAUGCCUGGCAGUGCAGUGACCCCCAUGGGAAAGAGCAGGGCUCAGCAGAGUGAAAGUAGCUGAGACCCAGAGAAGCCAGUGAGGUCUGACUCUUAGAAGCCAAAGACCAGCAGGUGGUUGUCCUCAGGGGCAAAUGGACUGCACUGGUAUCCAUUCAAGUGGACUGGAGAAAGAUGGUGUUUCACGCAGGCUGGAGAAAUCCCAGCCUUUUCUCAAACUUCUGGGCUCAAGUGAUCGGCCCACUUUCACUCCCAAAGUCCUGGAAUUACAAGAAAGUGUCACGACACCUGAUUCUGCAUUUUUUUUUUUUUUUUUCCAAAUUGGACUGAAGUCUACUCACUCAUCUCUUUCCCCAUCAGGGUGCAGCGUCAAACUCUGACUCAACAAAACUCUAUUGUUCAAGACCCUUGCCUCAGUCAGUCAUUCUGGAUAACCACCAUGAGUCCUGGAAAGCCCUUCAGUAAUCUGUUGCCUGCCUACUUGAUGUCUACCUAGGUGAGUCAGGAAACCAGAAGUCUCUAGGAAAUAACUGGAGAAUAUGAGCUUCAUAGUAGGUUGAGGAUGGAGUCACGAGUGAAAUGGGUGAAAUCAGCCCAUGGGCUUUGGAGACUGCAGACCUGUCCAGCCUCUGACACCCUGGAGGCCAGAAGAACUUGUCUGGGAAUUAUAAGAGUGGAUGGAGGAACUGCCUAUCCCUGUCCCACGGUCUUGUCUACAGAACAGCCUCACAAAGGGAAAUAGCCCUGGAUGGGGAUACAGUGGAAGCUUAUUCUCUUAGUGACCUGCGGACAUUGGUUCGAGAUGAAGCCUGGCAGGAGUGGCAACUCCAGUUUAGAUCUCUGCUGAACACACUGGAUAUUGAAAUCUUUGUUGAUUCUCUUGGUUCUGGUUUGGCUGACCUGUCAGCGGGAGCUGAAGGACAUGCCUGGAAGGGGAGUGACCUCCAUGGGAAAGAGCAAGGCUCAGCAGAGUGAAAGCAGCUGGGACCCAGAGAAGCCACUGAAGUCUGACUCUUAAAAGCCAAAGACCAGCAGGGUGGAGAGAGUCACAUUUCCUAAUGAGAGAUGGAAAGCAUCUGAUUACCAGAAAAAGUGUCCAAAUUCUGCUGGUAUGAUCAUGGUGCUGCAGGUGGAGGUCAGUUUAAGGAGGAUUCAGGCAAAGCAAUUUUGAAAGUCUUUUUCAUUGUUUCUGUUUGUUUGUUUGUUUUGUGUUUUGUUUUGUUUUUUACAAAACCAUGGGCAGAAGCCACCACCUGUACCCACCACAUGUUGGAAUGGAUGAGGGACAGAAAUGGAGCUCAGUAAAUUGAGAAUGAAAUUCAGGAGUGAGGAAGAGGUUUGAGAGGUCAACAGUGUGAGAGGUGAAUGGGUGAAUGAUGAGAAUGUUCAAAACAUCUUCUUUCUCCAUAAUAACACAGCAUUUAGUCCCCUGAGUCAGACAGUGUCCAGGCCAGGGGGAGCAGGAUGUUGUCAGCUCUCCUGGGCAAAAGUGAGACUCCAGUAGUAUCCAGUUACCUCAUCCAGUUUGGGAUUUAUUCCUAUUUUAAAAAUGAUCCAACAGUAUACAAUUUUGAAAAUAUACAAAAAUCUCUAUGCUAUCAUUCAUAGAUAGACAAGAUGGCCCUAAGAUGGUGAGAGAAUCAGAAUGGGGUUUGGGUUUACAUUGUGUAUUUUUUUCUCCCAAUAUCUACAGAAUUCCCUACGUCAAUUUUUUAAUGUAACCCAGUGGGUGUCAUUCCCUUUCACAAUUACAGACAUUUACAGUUUAUGGUUAAAACCCUGGGAAAACCCACACCCUUUCUUUUUUUUUUUUUUUUUUUUUGAGACGGAGUCUCGCUCUGUCGCCC